rnacentral:rRNA from 1 species
UCAAGAAACUUCCACAAUGGGCGAAAGCCUGAUGGAGCGACGUCGCGUGAUGGACGAAGUGCUUCGGCACGUAAACAUCUUUUAUGUGGGAUGAAAUUAUUGACAGUACCACAUGAAUAAGGGGCUCCUAACUCUGUGCCAGCAGGAGCGGUAAUACAGAGGCCCCAAGCGUUAUCCGGAAUCACUGGGCGUAAAGGGUGUCGAGGCGGUUGUAUUAGUCGUUCGUAAAAUCUACGAGCUUAACUUGUAGGCGGCGAACGAAACGGUACGACUUGAGGUUUGGAGAGGUGCGUGGAACUCACGGUGUAGGGGUGAAAUCCGUUGAUAUCGUGGGGAACACCAAAGGCGAAGGCAGCGCACUGGCCAAAAUCUGACGCUCACACACGAAAGCUAGGGUAGCGAAGAGGAUUAGAUACCCAGGUACCUGAGCGGGCUGGCAAGGCGCAU